rnacentral:rRNA from 1 species
AACGAACGCUGGCGGCAUGCCUAACACAUGCAAGUCGAACGAGAUCUUCGGGUCUAGUGGCGCACGGGUGCGUAACGCGUGGGAAUCUGCCCUUUGGUUCGGAAUAACAGUUGGAAACGACUGCUAAUACCGGAUGAUGACGAAAGUCCAAAGAUUUAUCGCCAGAGGAUGAGCCCGCGUUGGAUUAGCUAGCUGGUGUGGUAAAGGCGCACCAAGGCGACGAUCCUUAGCUGGUCUGAGAGGAUGAUCAGCCACACUGGGACUGAGACACGGCCCAGACUCCUACGGGAGGCAGCAGUGGGGAAUAUUGGACAAUGGGCGAAAGCCUGAUCCAGCAAUGCCGCGUGAGUGAUGAAGGCCUUAGGGUUGUAAAGCUCUUUUACCCGGGAUGAUAAUGACAGUACCGGGAGAAUAAGCUCCGGCUAACUCCGUGCCAGCCGCCGCAGUAA